GGUUCUUUAUACCUUGAUUAGAGUACAACGAUAUCUUAAAAUUAUGAUAAUGUAUCAUCCAUGCAAUUACUUUGUACACAGAAAAUGUGUACUAUGAAACCUUGUGAAGGGGAAAUUAAAGCAACUUGGUGAUAA